UACAGAGGGGCAAGCGUUGUUCGGAAUUACUGGGCGUAAAGGGCGCGUAGGUGGCCUUCUAAGUCGAACGUGAAAUCCCUGGGCUCAACCCAGGAACUGCGUCCGAUACUGGAAGGCUUGAAUCCGGGAGAGGGAUGCGGAAUUCCAGGUGAUAGCGGUGAAAUGCGUAGAUAUCCGGAGGAACACCGGUGGCGAAGGCGGCUCCUGGACCGACACUGACGCUGAGGCGCGAAAGCUAGGGGAGCAAACGGG
rnacentral:rRNA from 1 species